AAGCAUUGGUCUUGUAAACCAAAGAUUGAAAACUACAACUUUCCUAGAAUA
rnacentral:tRNA from 1 species